UACUCCAUAACAAGAUGAAGUA
rnacentral:piRNA from 1 species